rnacentral:pre_miRNA from 1 species
AAAGUACUCUCUCCGUCCCAAAAUUCUUGUCUUAGAUUUGUCUAGAUAAGGAUGUAUCAAGUCACAUUUUAGUAUUAGAUACAUCCAUAUCUAGACAAAUCUAAGACAAGAAAUUUGGGAUAGAGGGAGUAGUUG